rnacentral:tRNA from 1 species
UAGGAAGUGGUGUAGUGGAAGCACGGAAAGUUUUGAUCUUUCAAGGAGGGGUUCGAAUCCCUUUUUUCUAA